ensembl:lncRNA
AAUAAUAAUAAUAAUAAUAACAACAACAAUAGCUAUCAUUUAUAUAAAUAGUGCUUUAAGGUUUGCACAGUGCUGGAGGCCAGCACCUGGUAGUGGGCCCCUAACCCCGUGAGAUUACCACACCCCAAGCAGCUUGUUCCGGGACAAACCGUACCAUAACGUGUUCCUGUCAGGGCUAACCGCAAGAUGUCGCCACACCGCCCCUGGAAAGUCCCGGAGGCCCAUUUUCCCCUUUUGCCCCUCCCCGCUUUUGCCCUAUAUAAGCUUGUAACGCUCAAAAAUAAAAUUAGACCUUGCCUACCAUCCUUUUGGUCUCACUCCUCCUUUUCACCCAUUCCCUUCAGCCAGGGUCCUCCUCGACCCCCCACGUAUACUGGCCCUGCAGGUCGGGGCAAGUGGCGCCCAACGUGGGGCUCGAGGUUCGGACUUCUGCCAGGCGGACCAGCAUUGAGAAACGAUUCGUCGCGACCCCCUCCUUCUCAUCGCUCAUGAAGAGCCCCUGCGUUUUGAAAAUGACGAUCCUCGUAAUUUUCCUCCUGUUCCGUGGGAGCCACGGUGGUUUUCAAUCUCCUGACCCAGUAGCGCUCAGCCGUGCCCUCUUUGGAAGCCCUUGUGACUGCGGCGGGGGCACGUUCACUGUCCGUCCCGCCACCUACACGCAAGAAGUGGACUGCGGGGAAAAGACAGCCUACCUCGCCUACCGUCAUUCUAUCACGGGCGUCUCCAAACCCAAGUGGGAAUGCGUAAGGAAGCCCCGAGUUAUCCCUCCGAAUGGUGGCCAGCCCGGGCCUUGCCCCAGUGAUUGCAACUACCUUGAGGCCUUGCACUCCACAUGCUAUAGUUCUACCCAGCAGUGCAGUGGCAGCUCAGGAACAGUCUAUCUUACUACAAUACAGGAAAGAGAAUAUGGUGGCUCCACAGGAGGGGACUGGGCGCAUAUAACUAGCCAAGGCCUACGUGGAAGUACCAAUAAGUAUGCUCAGGCUUCCUGUCGUAAAGAAAAUAUUGGAAAAAAUGUCUGUUGGCCCCUUCAUGCACCUGUCCAUAUCUCUGAUGGGGGUGGCCCUACAGACCAAAUUAGGGAACAUGAGGUUAGGGAACGAAUAAAUGAAAUAAUUAAGAGUAUGUAUCCCCCCAUCCAUUACCAUCCACUUGCACUGCCCAAACCCCGGGGAACGGACCUAGAUGUCCAAACUUCAGAAAUCCUUGAAGCAACACUUAAGGCCCUUAAUUACUCUAACCCUGAUUUGGCUGCCGAUUGCUGGCUGUGUAUGGCCCUUGGCACACCUAUGCCCAUAGCUUUGAUGUCCAAAUGGCUCCACAUCCACAAAUUGCACACUUAGUCCACCUUUUAAGGUACAACCUGUUGGUCUCCGCCCCUCUCCUUGUAUCCAAGCCCCAUUUCAGAAUUCCACUGCUGAUAUUGAUGUUGGUUUUGCUACCUUUGCUAAUUGCUCUGAAGUCAAAAACUAUACCUCACAGGAACCUCUCUGUCCCCUGCCGGGACAACUUUUCGCCUGUGGGGGAAAUAUGGCCUACUCUGCUCUCCCCAGAAUUGGACAGGACUCUGCACACAAAUUUCAAUCCUCCCUGAUAUCGACAUCAUUCCGGGAGAUGAGCCUGUCCCACUGCCCAGUUUUGAUUAUAUUACUGGAAGACCCAAGAGGGCUGUUGCAUUUAUCCCCCUCCUUGUUGGCCUUGGGAUUACAGGGGCACUCGCUACCGGCUCUGCCGGCAUAGGAGUUGCUGUUGAUUCAUAUACAAAACUAUCCCAUCAAUUUCUUAAUGAUGUGCAAACCCUCUCGGGGACGAUAAAUGACCUUCAAGACCAAAUUGACUCCCUGGCGGGAGUCGUUCUUCAGAAUAGGAGGGGCCUAGAUUUACUCACGGCAGAACAAGGGGGAAUUUGCUUAGCCCUACAAGAAAAAUGUUGCUUCUAUGCAAAUAAAUCUGGGAUAGUGCGGGAUAAAAUCA